UGGCUACAUGCACACACAAGAAAUUACACACUGUGUGACCAGCUGCAAAUGUACCUAUCACCUCUUCACACCACUUCCCGAUCCUUUCUCCCGGUUUCCAAAGUGCCUUUUAAAUAUUUGUUACUUGUUCAUUCCUAGCCUCACUGACUCCAGGAAGAAGAACCAGAACAAGGCACCUAUACAAAACCAUAGGGUAUAAAAACAAGGCAUCUGAAGGUUUUAAGUUUAAGACUGAUUCUGCUCUGCAUCACAUAGGAACAUGUCACAGUCUGCAGUAGGAUCUACAUCCCACUUUGCAUCUGUUGAGGUCGCAUCUUGCCACCAGGCUGGGCUCAGCUCUCACUGCACUCCCAUUGCAUGAGGUUCUGGUGUCUAGCAGGGUUCUGGGGAAGGAGGAAUGGGCAAGAGAGGGACAAAGCACACAAAGUCUAAGUUCUAGCAGGUCCUGUCUGAAAAGGCUAUCAGCUGUUGGACUAUGGGAGAAAUCAAUAACAGCUGAAAUCCUGUGUAUGAUUUCAUUAGCAGCAGAUAGCACCUAUCUACUUCCCCAGCUGUUCUCUCCACCCUCUGUUAUGUCAGGCAACCAUGACAUAUUCUCAGACCCCUGUGAAAUCACACUUCUAUAAAGUGGAAUUGGAGCUGAGAGGCCUCUUCAGGCUCAGGGUCAGUGAGAGCAUACUAUAUCUUUUGUUUCUGUUGUGUUGCUCCUGCUGCUUCUGGGGAUUUGAGAGCAGAGAGAGGAAGGAGAGACUUGUGACACAAUGUUAGUUGCAUGGCUUGGCAGACUGAUGCCCAGCUCCCCACUAUGCCAAAGACACCCAGAGGAGCCUUGAGCCUGUCAUGGCAUUGCUCUCUAACUCCACCUUUUUGGAAGAAGAGUGGCUUCUCCUCAUCCUCCUGGUCUCUUCAGCUUCUACAAAAAUGCUGUACUAGAAACUACUUGGGAAGUAUGUGGUGGGAGUGGUGCCAUGGUCCCAAAAUUCAAGCACAGCAAGAAGUGACACCCCUAAGUUUAAUGAAUUGUAUGAAAAAUGUUGAGCUACAGAGUCUGCCUGUGCAAGAGACUGGGAGAAGAGGGAUCUUAAACCACCAAAUGUGGAUGCUAUCAUAUUUAAUAGUGUAAUUUAUUGCUACAAGACGCCCCUGGAAACAUCCAAGAAAUAAUGAUCUUCCAGAAAUACCCCAGAUAACUCUCUUGAAUCAAAAGCACCUUGUUUUAAAAGCUGUAUUACUAUUGCCACAGAAAAAGACACUAAGUUACGCAGCUUACUGGUCUGAUUUAACCUUGUCUUUUCUAUGAAAAUACUUUUCUAAGUGUACCCAUUUCUUUCUGGAUAAUGUUCUAAUGUGAACUUUUGAAUGCUCACAUCAUACCCUUUUCUUUCCCAUACUCUCAGUAGUACCAUCAUUUUUGCCCACGUGGUAAUGUUCAAAUAUAUCCCCAUGGGCCUUAUUCCCUUCAUUAGAGCCUGUUUUUUGUUGCUGCAGCUCACUGUUGGAAAUGAGCGGCAGAAGUCUUUCUCACUUCAGUCAAUAGAAUAAAAUAAAACAUAAAGUGAGGGAGAGAAAAAAG
ensembl:lncRNA